rnacentral:rRNA from 1 species
UUUAGUAAUUGCGAAUGAACAAGGAUAUGCUUAGCUUGACAAAUGGAGCUAUUGGCUUUGAAUUGUAUUGUGGAAAUGUAUUACCAACAGAGGUGCAGGUGCCAGCCUAUUGAAAUAAAGCGUCAAUGAGGGUGAGAAUCCUGUUUGUCAUGUGCAGCCCUUUGUGCACGGUGUAUAUUUGCUGAGUCACACUCCUUGGCAUUGGAAUGCAAAGUGGGUGGUAAGUUUCAUGUAAAGGUAAACAUGCAAUUGAGACUGAUAGCACACAAGUACCAUGAGGGAAAUAUGAAAAGGACUUUGAAAAGAGAAUUAAAUGAGUUUGUAUUUGCUGAACACAAAGUAAACAGACUUGAUUUGCUUGGUGGGAGUGUUGCACUUGCUUGACAAGAGCUUUGGGCUGUGGGUGUAAUGAUUCUUUCUUUGCAUGCCAGUUUCUAUUUGUACAUCUGAUUACCUUUGCACAUGAAUGAUAAGUCUCCUGUGGGGGGUGGAUUGCAUGUGCAUGUAAUGAUUUGUGUUUUGAUAAAUGUGUCUGGUGUAUGUGUGUGUUCCUGUGCUUGGGGAUGCUUCCUUCCUUGGACUUACAAGCCCUGACACACACAUGCUGGCAAAAUGCUUCUGCUUGACCCGUCUUGAAACACGGACCAAGGAGUCUAACAGAUGUGCAAAGUUUGAAGGUGGUAUACCUUUGUGUGCAAUGAAAGUGUCAGCUGGGAUAUGUGCACCAGCACCCAAUUAAUUAGCGGACAGAGGUUUGAGUUGGAGCAUAUCUAUUAGGACCCGAAAGAUGGUGAACUAUGCCUGAACAGAAUGAAUUCAGAGGAAACUCUGAUGGAGGUUCGUAUCGAUACUGACGUGCAAAUCGUUCGUCAUAUUUGGGUAUAGGGGCGAAAGACUAAUCGAACCAUCUAGUAGCUGGUUCCCUCCGAAGUUUCCCUCAGGAUAGCUGGAGUUGCUCAGUUUUAUCAGGUAAAGCGAAUGAUUAGAGGAAUUGGGGACAGGUUUGUCUUUGACCUAUUCUCAAACUUUAAAUGGGUAAUAUGUAGUGGUUGCUGUAUGGAACUUCUAAGAUAAAUGG